UACGGCUACAUCAUGUUGAAACACCGCUUCCGUACGAUCACCGACGUUAAGCAACUUCAAGCCUGGUCAGUACCUAGAUUGGGUGACUGCCUGGGAAUACUAGAUGCUGUAA